GAUGAUUCUCCUUCCUGUGGGGAUGUGGAUGAUCCUGAAGCCUGUGCAGUUAGCGGUGGAAACAUUUGGGUAAGUUACGGGAGCAGAUGUCAGUUUCUGAACUUCUUUGCCUUCUUUCUGUGGUUCCCUAGCAGUCAUACCAAGAUGGCUUUCAGGUUUGGGAUGAGUAACUAACAGCUGCAGUGGACAAAUUAAGUCAACGAUGCAUGAUGGCAUAAUUUAACCAGUUACAGUUUGGAAAGUGGCUCUUGGAGUUUGUGACUAGGUUUUACAGAGAUGAAUUUUGGACUUUGCGGGAUAUACUAAGCACAUGUUCCAUUUCCACUGCUGUAUUUUGAUGCUCUGUGUCCAAAAUAAUACAUAAGGAUUUGUAUUUUUCAUGCUACCCCAGUCUGCGAAGCUGAGAAAUCUUACCAGCUCGUUUGAUGGUGAGAAGUACCCUGAUUUUCCUUCUGCUGAGACAUAGGAGGAGGAGUCACACAGCUUGC
rnacentral:lncRNA from 1 species